rnacentral:lncRNA from 1 species
UAAAUGUAGGACGAUAUAUGGCUUAUGAUACAAUUAUGUAAAUUACUUAAAUGCAGGACAAGGAUGCUUUUGCGGCUACGCUUAGAAGAAUAUCAAAAAUACAGAAGACUCAAGAGGCAAACUACGUAGUUUUGAGAGAGAGGUAAACUAUAUCGAUCACAAGAAUGUUACAUCCUCAAGCACCUUCGAAGUUUUAUUUGGCAAAUUCGUGGAUGCAUAAAUGUUGAACUUGUUCUGAAGCUUUUAUUUUUCUUUGUUAUUAUUGAAUAAGAGAGGUGUGGAAGAAUUUUGUAAUCGUUUACAUUUCUUGAAGAGUGUUUUAAACAAUAUUCUGUAUCUUGUUAAUAUCUGGCAGCUUGGUUAUAUUUUCAAAGAUGCUAAUAUUUUGAGUUCGAAGUCUUUCUUGUGGGUGGUAAAAGAUAUUCAAACUUAGGCGAGUGGUAAAUUUUUAUCGGGAAUGAGUUACUCUCAUUAAUACUU